rnacentral:rRNA from 1 species
GAGAUGUGGGUAGUCCGCACGAGCGCACCUCACUUUUAGUUGCCAUCAUUAAGUUGGGCACUCUGAAAGAACUGCCAGUGAUAAGCUGGAGGAAGGUGGGGAUGACGUCAAGUCCUCAUGGCCCUUACGUGUUGGGCUACACACGUGCUACAAUGGCAUCUACAACAGGAAGCAAAACGGCAACGUUAAGCAAAUCCCAAAAAGAUGCCUCAGUUCGGAUUGCACUCUGCAACUCGAGUGCAUGAAGCUGGAAUUACUAGUAAUCGUGGAUCAGCGUGCCACGGUGAAUGCGUUCCCGGGUCUUGUACACACCGCCCGUCACACCAUGGGAGUUGGUUCUACCUUAAGGCAAGGUUUAAAACCCUUGACCACGGUAUAGUCAGCGACUGGGGUGAAGUCGUAACAAGGUAGCCGUAGGGGAACCUGCGGCUGGAUUACCUCCUUUCU